rnacentral:rRNA from 1 species
CCUACGGGUGGCAGCAGUGGGGAAUAUUGCACAAUGGGCGCAAGCCUGAUGCAGCCAUGCCGCGUGUGUGAAGAAGGCCUUCGGGUUGUAAAGCACUUUCAGCGGGGAGGAAGGCGGUGAGGUUAAUAACCUCAUCGAUUGACGUUACCCGCAGAAGAAGCACCGGCUAACUCCGUGCCAGCAGCCGCGGUAAUACGGAGGGUGCAAGCGUUAAUCGGAAUUACUGGGCGUAAGGCGCACGCAGGCGGUCUGUCAAGUCGGAUGUGAAAUCCCCGGGCUCAACCUGGGAACUGCAUUCGAAACUGGCAGGCUAGAGUCUUGUAGAGGGGGGUAGAAUUCCAGGUGUAGCGGUGAAAUGCGUAGAGAUCUGGAGGAAUACCGGUGGCGAAGGCGGCCCCCUGGACAAAGACUGACGCUCAGGUGCGAAAGCGUGGGGAGCAAACAGGAUUAGAUACCCGAGUAGUC